rnacentral:tRNA from 1 species
GCCGGCGUAGCUCAGUAGGUAGAGCAAAGGUUUCGUAAACCUUAGGUCGGAGGUUCAAUCCCUCUCGCCGGCU